rnacentral:tRNA from 1 species
CCCGCCGGAGGUGCUGGCUCACGGCGGGCUGGCUGUAGCCCAGCCGGGCGGCCGCGGCGGUGAUCGUGCCCGCGUCGGCGAGG